rnacentral:rRNA from 1 species
GACGAACGCUGGCGGCGUGCUUAACACAUGCAAGUCGAACGGUGAAGCGCCUUCCUUUUUGGUGGGUGUGGAUGAGUGGCGAACGGGUGAGUAACACGUGAGUAACCUGCCCCCUUCUUCUGGAUAACCGCAUGAAAGUGUGUCUAAUACGGGAUAUUCUGCGUCUGUCGCAUGAUGGGUCUGGGACAGAUAUUGUUUCGGGGGGGGAUGGGCUCGCGGCCUAUCAGCUUGUUGGUGGGGUGAUGGCCUACCAAGGCGGGGACGGGUAGCCGGCCUGAGAGGGUGGACGGUCACACUGGGACUGAGACACGGCCGAGACUCCUACGGGAGGCAGCAGUGGGGAAUAUGGCACAAUGGGCGCAAGCCUGAUGCAGCGACGCCGCGUGAGGGAUGGAGGCCUUCGGGUUGUGAACCUCUUUCGCCAGUGAAGCAGGCCUGCCUCGUUUGUGGGUGGGUUGACGGUAGCUGGAUAAGAAGCGCCGGCUAACUACGUG